AUCUUCUGGCACCACGGUGGUACAUUUGUUGCAAAUGAUGAACCUACAUUGACACAUCUUAAUCACCCAAAGUUCAAAGUUUGUAUUACACUUCACUCUUGG